CUCCUGAAUCCUCUUUCACUUCAGAUCAGUGACAAAAUGCCUGAGAUUCAGUUGGGUGCUCACACCGUAAGAUCCCAUGGAGUCAAAGUUGCCAGGACACAUAUGCAUGACUGGCUGAUCCUUUUGCUUUUUGUAGUGAUAGAUGUCAUUUUGAAUGUUAUCGAACCAUUUCACCGAUUUGUUGGGAGAGAUAUGAUGACAGACCUGUCAUACCCACUGAAAGAUAAUACUGUUCCCUUUUGGGCUGUUCCAAUUGUUGCAAUAUUGCUGCCUUUUGUCAUCAUUCUUGUCUAUUACUUCAUCAGAAGGGAUGUCUAUGAUCUGCACCAUGCUAUUCUGGGCCUUCUGUUUUCUGUGCUUAUCACUGGAGUUAUAACUGAUGCAAUUAAAGAUGCUGUUGGCCGUCCUAGACCUGACUUCUUUUGGCGUUGUUUCCCAGAUGGCAAGGGGGUGUUUAAUAAUGUUACAACUGAUGUUAUGUGCACUGGAGUAAAGAGCGUCAUCAAGGAAGGACACAAAAGUUUCCCUAGUGGACACACUUCUUGGUCCUUUGCAGGUCUUGGUUUUCUAUCAUGGUACUUAUCUGGAAAAAUCAGGGCUUUUGAUCGAAGGGGCCAUGUUGCAAAGCUUUGUAUUAUUUUUCUACCAUUACUUGUAGCAGCUCUUAUAGGAAUUUCUCGAGUCGAUGACUAUUGGCAUCACUGGCAGGAUGUAUUUGCUGG
rnacentral:misc_RNA from 1 species